CCUGGUGCCCAGCUGCCAAGGGAGCCCAGGAAGUCAGAGUUUUGGUUAUUUUUCAACUUCUGAAAUAGGAAGCAUGUUCUGUUUCUCCAAAGAUCUGAAAGUUGAAAAAAUUUCCAAACAGAGCAGAAGCUCACAUUUUUUGUGCCUACUGAGUGGUCCUGGGUUUUCUUUCCUCCAGGGUCAGUUCCUGCCCCGGGAUCCCUGUCUUGGCUCAUAAAGUAACAACGAUUUCCUGCCUUCGUGUGCAAGUACAGAGACCGUGGUUAGGGGAUGGAUGACAUUUUUAUUUAUUUAUUGUGUGUGCGUGGGGCACACAGAACACCUGUGGGCAGGAAUGCUACCAUCACAUCAGUUUAUAAGCUGGUCGGCUCGCUUGGAUCCAGGUACACUAUGUGAAGGGAGUGGAAGACACCCGGGAUGGGCACCUUGGAGGAGCGUCUCCUCAUGUCUCUUUCAUGUCCUGGCUGCCUUGGAGCGUAUGUGAACUGCUGGCCCUGAACUCCCAGAGAUCUGCCUUUGCCUCCCAGGAGCUGGAAUUAGUGUAUGCCACCACAUCAGUCCCAUUGUUUAGCUAGUGUUCAUUUGGGAGCAGUUUUUAAUGUAAUCUUGUUUUUUUUUUGUAUUUUAUAAAUGUUUUAAAAUUUUAUUUUAAUUUGAUGUUGACUUCCACAUGCACCAAGCAUGACACAGUGUAUAUGCAGACAGAACACUCAUACACAUAAAAUAAAAAAGACAUUUGGAAAUAUAUAUAUUGGUUUUUCCAGACAAGGUUUCUCUGUAUAACCCUGGCUGGCUGUCCUGGGUCUCCCUCUGUAGAACAGAGUGGCUUCACUCACAGGGAUCUACCUGCCUCUGCCUCCUGAGUACUGGGACUAAAAGGCUUGGGCCACCACCACCUGGCUCUGAAAGAGAUUUUUAGUUUGGGGGGAAAAUGCAAUCAUGAGCCAGCCAUCAUCAUCCCUGUCUGUAAUCCCACACUGUGGAGGCUGAGGCAGGGAGAGCCUGAGGAUUUUAGGCCAACCUGGGCACAUGAUGUCUUGGAAUGGAGUUCUCUGGCUUAGCCCAGUUGCAGUUGGUUGUCAUUGUUCAUUUCUGUUGCUGUAAUAAAACACUCCGACCAUAAGCAGCCUGGGGGAGGAAGAGAUUUGUCUUCUACUUCCAGGCCACAGUCCACCACCGAGAGGAGCCACCAGGAGCGGAAACGGGAAGGUGACAUAGAAACCAUGAGGGACCUCUGGUGUUGCCUUGCUUCUCUGGCUCCCUGGUAGGGCAUGCGUAGCUAGCUUUAAAUUCUUUUCUUUUGGGCAG